AGUGAACGCUGGCGGUAGGCCUAACACAUGCAAGUCGAACGGCAGCACAGUAAGAGCUUGCUCUUACGGGUGGCGAGUGGCGGACGGGUGAGGAAUACAUCGGAAUCUACUUUUUCGUGGGGGAUAACGUAGGGAAACUUACGCUAAUACCGCAUACGACCUACGGGUGAAAGCAGGGGAUCGUCGGACCUUGCGCGAUUGAAUGAGCCGAUGUCGGAUUAGCUAGUUGGCGGGGUAAAGGCCCACCAAGGCGACGAUCCGUAGCUGGUCUGAGAGGAUGAUCAGCCACACUGGAACUGAGACACGGUCCAGACUCCUACGGGAGGCAGCAGUGGGGAAUAUUGGACAAUGGGCGAAAGCCUGAUCCAGCCAUACCGCGUGGGUGAAGAAGGCCUUCGGGUUGUAAAGCCCUUUUGUUGGGAAAGAAAAGCAGCAGGUUAAUACCCCGCUGUUCUGACGGUACCCAAAGAAUAAGCACCGGCUAACUUCGUG
rnacentral:rRNA from 1 species